UUCCCAUUUUUUCCCUCUUCUCUUCUUCUCUUCCAAUCUCAUACCCACCAUAUCUAUACAUUCAAAUCUAAUUUUUUUUUCCACAAAUUUCUUCCAAUCUUGUAUCAAAGGAUUUUUUUAAGGUUUUGAAGAGAAGAAUAUUGAAGAAGAGUUGAAGGAGAAGAAGGUUGAAGGAGAUUGAAGGUUGAAGGAGAUUGGAGAAGAGGCUUUCACAUGAAAUAAAUUAUUAUUGAGAGUACUAUAGCUAUCACUUCCCACACAUGCUUUCAUGAAAAUUCAAUUUAUUGAUCAGUACGACAUAGUAGAAGUUGAGUUUGUUUUAUCAUUUGAAUCACUUUAAUAGGGUAGCCAAUAGCCAUAUAUAAUAAUUGUGCACAAGUCCUUCUCUGACAAUUCCAUGUGUAAGCAAAACUUGUAAUUAAAUUAAUAUUUCAAUAUAUAAAAUUAUUUUUAUUUCACUAUAUUAUUUAAUUUAUUUUAUAUGUACCACUCUAAACCUAUUUGCAUUCACUUUACAUUUAUAUUUAUGGUAAGAGUAGUUUAACCUAUGGAAUAUAUAGAAUUAGAGCUGUGCUACUUUGACACCAUUUUGUAUAUACACCGUAGCUUACACCUAUUGCUGCAACAAAGUAAUUGGCUUGGCACAUAACUCAAAGUUCAAAUAAAUUAUUAAAAAAUAAAAAUAGUAUAUUUGGUGUAUCAAAUUACGGUGUAGUGUUACAAAAUGGUGUAAUUAUAGCUUUUCUCAUAGAAUUAUGAAUCAUGAUGAAUUUGAGAGAGACAUUGAUUCCUGCUCGUGCUCACAAGCAAUUGGAUUACAAUUCGCGUGGUUAAAAACGAAGGAUAGUGAGUCUUACAAGUUGAAAAGAGAAAAUAUUUGAUGGAUUGACUUGAUGCUUUCAUAAUUUCAUGCGUGGAACAAUGGACCAUAUAUCCCAUUGAGGGUUGCUAUUUAUACACCCAAUAUCAUACACUUAUACAGUUACACUGUAUAAAAUACUUUUUGGUAUGUGCUUGUUUUUAGAAUAAAGUAAAAAAUAAUGAUUAAAUAUUAAAAAAAAAAUCAAAACCGUAAUAUACUACGGUGUAGGUGUCACAUAAAUUGUAAGAAUAACAUUUCUGUAUCCCAUUAUCUUCCAAAAAAACAUUAUCAGCUUCAUGAUGUAGGUUGAAGGCCAUAAAAAACAGUCCAUUAUUUUUCCUCAAUUUCAUAGGUUGAUAAUGUCAACUUGGUUUUCUAAUUUUUUUUCCAAACAAUAAUUUAUAGAGUUUAUUCAUAAAUAAUAAGCAAAUAGACAACAAUUAAAAUUGUGUUGUUAUUUCUUUUUA